ACAAAAAAGUUAUGGCUUUCUUCGAAAGGGAAAAUACGGCCACAAAUCCGAAUUUUGAGCAAAUAUACAAAAUUUCGACCUCAUUUAACUCAAAAAGUAGCACAUGAAGGUAUAUUUUUUAUUACAUAUUUGAUUUAAUCAGGCAAAAAUUAGCCUAUAUGGAAAUUUUCAUCAAACUGUAAAUACGGGAUCAAAACUGUAUCGUAUGCCCUUAA
rnacentral:lncRNA from 1 species